ensembl:lncRNA
CAACAAGGGUGGGCCACGGACCAGCGGAAGAGACAGGCGCACCUUCAGGAGCCAGCCCAGACACGGGGCUCUUUCUCCCAGACCCUCUUCAAAGGCUGGCACAAGAGGGUAGAGUGUACCGGUUAGAACUAUGACUGAGGGACAGUGGCUGCUUCUUUCCCUCACGGAGGGACGGCUCCCCUUGAGGCUGGGGUGGGUGUCUUGGCCGUGACACCUUAGCACACUGGGAUGAGCAAAGAGCUUCAGUGGACGCCUAGUUUAGCAGGGACCUUGUUCACCUGUGAUACGUCUUAAGACCAAUGUUCUGCGGCCCCCAGAAUGACACACAUGGACCAGACAGAUCCCGUCCCUCGAUGAGAAGCCACAUGCAGCCACCUCGGGGGGAGAGCAGAGCCAGCGGCCAAGCCCAGCCUGCGUCAGCUUAACGCCAGUCGACCCGCAGAACCGUGAGCCUGAGAACAGGUGCCUGCUGCGGCAGCCCGGGAGUCUUCAGGGGCCGACUGGUGCAGGGAUCGGAGAGAAGGGCCUGCAGAGUCCUUAUGGCCAAGUACGUGGCCGCCACGUACGUUUGCCCUGCUCAGGAGGGCUAAGCCCCGUGAGAUGAUCGCCCACAGCUCGUGAACCGACCCUGAGCUCCGGAGGAGUCCAGCAGUGGAGACGGCACUGGGGCCUUGUGGCCACCCCGGCAACGGGGUGGGCCCGGGACUGGCUGAGGACACAGGUACACAGAUUUGACCAGUUUCUGUCAGGACUUGGAGGACCUGCCGAAGCUCUUGUUCUCCUGGUAUCCGCCCAAAACACAUGUGUCAUGGAAGGACACCAGGGUGACGGAAGGUAAACUGGGUCCCUUCGCAUCACCGAGGCGUGGAGCACGCGGGGCUGCCUCUCCCGGCUUGCCCUCGGGCCCGCCAGCCACAGGGAGGCAGCCAGGCGCUCACCAGAGGUUGGCAUGGGCGGUCAGGGGGCUCACUCCCUCCUGCCCUCGAAGACCCGUGGGGCAAGGGGUGCCCCAUAACUCUAAGCCAAGUGAGGGGACCUCACGGAAACCAGAGCCGCAGGAACGGCGUAAAUCCCCUGGUCAGGGACGGAGGACAGAUGUGGACCUCGCAGCGGGGACGGGUGACACCCGGAUCAGCCGAGCACCUGCAGGGGAGGUUGCCGCGCUCCCCAGGGGCCUACGGAGACGCGCAGAAUGUGUUCUUGAACAAUGAAGGGGUCAAGUGCAGCCGAGAGAGAAGAUCCAUGACACAGCAGGUGCCCCCCAGGAAGGAAAGGUGAAGAUGCCACGACUCUAGCUAACUGUGUUGCCAUCUAGCAAGCAGCACCCCAAGACUUAAGUGAGAAGACACAGUUCCCAGGAGGAAAUGUCACAGAGAAGGGGGUAUUUCAAAGAUUGGGUACCAUCCUUGAGAUUCUUACACAACUCACUGAGUGGUAAAGACAGAGUGAAGGGAGAAAAAAAAAGCAACUAAUAAUUCUAGGAAAACCAAAUAGCUAGACCAUUAAAGGAAAUGAGAUCUUAUCUCUAAAAUAAAUAAUUCUUUGGCUUUAAGAUAAAUAUCUAC